GUUGAUGUUGGACAACCGACUCCUUAAUUGGACGAAACGCUUUCAAUUUAUUUCAUUUACAAACAAUCAACGACACUUUGUGUUCUUAGGUUGUAGAAGUUAUAUGUGAAAGAGGUUAGAGAUCACGGAACUUUAUUCAAGAAUCGACGAGAGAUGCGAUGUAGGUAAUUUAAUGAAAUAAAAUCGCAAGGCAGAGCCCUUUUGGUUCCAGAGACUUCUGUGAAGUAUGCUGUGAACUAAAUACAAUUUUAUCACGAACAAGCAUAACAACAGUGAUGAAUGUACUUGAUAGAAAUCAAUUCUGUAGUCCAAUUUUUCAAAUUUUAAGAGCAUUUGAGUAUUUAAAUUAAUUUUCCAUCAAAUUCGUUGCAAAGUUCAAAAGUUCGUAUUGAUAUAAAUGCACAAUUUGGUGUAUUGUCAUUGAGCAUUUGAUUUUGGCUGGGGUUAUUUCAGUAACCAAUCGAAGGCUUUGUUUACAUAUCGUGAAUUUUAUUAUGAACUUUUGAGCUUCCCAACCAAUUUGCGAAGUUAAGAAUAUCUUUAGUGAUAAAUAAGUUGAAAUUGACUGUAAACGAAACAACUCAAUUUAUUCACAUAAUUUUGAAUUACUUUUCAUAAAAUUAUACAUCUCGAUUUUUCAGUAUUAAAGAGCAUUAGUCAUACUAUAAAAUAUGCAGAUUUGGCCACAUAUACAUUCUUGUCCCAAUAAAUUUGGUGCACAUUAUUUUAGGUGUUAUGAAGGUGAUUUGUGUAAAAAGGGGAAUCGGCAGAAAAUUCACACAUAAAUAGGGAGUGCACAUUUUAUAAAUUGGUGUCAUAACUAAACCCAUCCUCCUUUACUGUUUAUAACCAUAUUUCGUAUAUUCCACUUGUAUAAUUUAUUCAGAUACUUCAACCAGAUCUUCAAUUUUUGAGUGGAAGAUAAUUAGUUAAAUUUGCCAAUCCUGCAGUUAGAAACAGAAUAGCCACUAACAGAAUUUGCUUGUGGUUAUUGCUAAAAUAUGUUAGUCUGUCGAGAUAUGAUGGUCAGGAAGCCCGCAAACUUCAAAACUACAAAAUAAAAGGCUUUUGUUUGAUGUUGAACCGUGCCCUUUGUCUCAACUUCAUUAAAUAGUACUUCAUCGUGGUUGCAUGUUUAUCUCCGCUCAUGCCUGUCAGAUGUUGGGAUCCUAGGUAGCGGCGCUACCUGCAAGUGCGUGAAGCUAACUGCAAUCCUUGGUCAGAAGCUCUUAUGCAUGCUUAAAGUAGAAAAUUUCAAUUUUUCCGAAUACAUUGUGCAAUAUUUACCGACCAGAUUUAAUAACUAGUCGUACCCAAGACGUAAAUUCAUCAAAUGAUGCCAUCAAAAUCUCCUGUUCUGUGGCCGAAUCUUAUUCGUCAGCAGAUAAUCUAAAUCUUGUCGGUUUGAUAUACGAAAAUUUUCCAGCAAUUGGGUUUGAGCAAAUUAGUGGACACUCAAUUUUGACGAUAUGAAACAUAACUCAAAAAAAUUUCUUCUGUGCCCGGUUCCAUGUCGCAAUUUGCAAGCUUCGCGAGCACGUUUUGACUACGCAGGGCUAACUGAAAAUGUUUUUUGGCUACCUGCAAAAAAAUUAAACAAACAGGCAUGUCUCAGCUAUCCCAAUUGGACGGUAUUUUCAUUAUACGAAAAUACAAUGAGCUCAAUCACCGGCGUGACCGUAAAAUAAACUCAAACAGAAACUUAACACAAUCUUAUGACUUCUUUUUCUUUUCCAGAUCAUCACAUCUUGAUAACUAUAAAAUGUUUUCCGUUUCGAGAUUUUAAAGUUUGUAGCUUGAUAUGUAACGUCAAAAUGAAAUGAAAUGAGGGGUGGGUUACUCCAGAAAAUCUCGAAUAAAUUACUGAAAAUCCUUGAACUGAAGUCCCUAUAUAUAAUUUCAAAAAUCUCUACAAAUCCCAAAGAUCCCGGUUUUUAGGGAUCUUUCAUUAUAUAUACAUGCAUCCUCAUGCAACGUUAUUUUAAAUUCCUGAAAUUGUUCGGCGCGUGUUCGGAUCGCCAUCGUAAUGAUUAAGUGUAUAUUGAAAAUGGCGACGUACAGUAUAAGAAUAAAUUUUCGCGAUCAAAAAAGGUAAGUCAUUUCUGGUGUGCUCCCUUAGAUAUAUAUUUAGUUUAAAAUUACUGUCGAUGUCUUCUAAACUAUAUAUUGCUGUGUGGAUAGAUGGUAACCUUUAUCUAUAGUAUUCCUGGUAGCCCAAUAUGUCCUUGACCUUGCUAUCUAUCUCCAAGUUAAUAAAAUACAUUGCAAUGGCAACUCCGAAAAUUUUCAUCUUAUUAUAAUACCGUAAUCUAGAUUAGUCGAAACGUCGAAUUAUAACACAAAAUUUUGAGUUCCCAUUGUACUGUAUUUUAUUCAAACACUCUGUGAUUAUCGCAAAUUUGUAUAUAGCUAUAUACGUUAAAACCUCUCAGUCUAUUUUAAUUGUAUACAAUCGGUCUUUACUUCAGUCUAUUUAAUUGUAAAAUCAUUAUUUAUUAUAAGGUGUCUUUAUUGGGUUAAAUGACUGCGUUUGCAUGACUCCGUGAUUCCAUUAUAUUCACAUGAUUAGACCAAAUUACAAUAAAUAUAUAUAGAUGUGAAUACGUGAAAAUACCAAGUACGAAUGCAUGACAACGAAAUAAUAUUUUCUCCACCAACGCCAAAUAUCAUUUCCCACCUAUUACUCGCGUCUCUGUAUAUCAGCUACAUGGACAACGCUUUUUUGGUUUCGGCUCCACUAAUUUUAGUGAUGAAAUUUCUAAAAAAAAUAGAAAAUAAUGCAUGAGAGGACUGCAAUGUAAUUGGCCCAAUGCAAUGCAAAUGGCCAAUAGACCUUUCCCCUUUCAAGUGAGAUUUUGAUCAAGACAAGUCUGGACAAAAAUUACAUCACAGCUUGAAAAAGCAUCACAAAAU
rnacentral:lncRNA from 1 species